UUCGUAGGUGGCAAGCGUUGUCCGGAUUUAUUGGGCGUAAAGCGAGCGCAGGCGGAAGAAUAAGUCUGAUGUGAAAGCCCUCGGCUUAACCGAGGAACUGCAUCGGAAACUGUUUUUCUUGAGUGCAGAAGAGGAGAGUGGAACUCCAUGUGUAGCGGUGGAAUGCGUAGAUAUAUGGAAGAACACCAGUGGCGAAGGCGGCUCUCUGGUCUGCAACUGACGCUGAGGCUCGAAAGCAUGGGUAGCGAACAGG
rnacentral:rRNA from 1 species